UCCCUGGUGGUAUAGUGGUUAGGACUCAAAACUUCCACCUUUGUGGCCUGAGUUCAAUCUCUGGUCUGGGAA
rnacentral:tRNA from 1 species